GGGGACGUAAUGGUUUCGACAGCUUUUUUGAAAUAUAAAUAGCGAGUGGUGGAGCAUCUGGCCACCAUAAAAGAUGCAAUUUAAAAAUAAACGCUGAUAAUAAAGAAUUAGCUAUUGCUGCCUAGUUUGCAGCAACGUCUUACUUUAGUAACCUACGACUAAAGAUUAAGGCGCCGAAUUAGUAGGAAACGAAUCUAUUAUAUUCUUCGAUAAUAGAGGGAUUUUAGAAGAUACAAAUAUUAUUCGUUUGUUUGUUAAUGAAUAAUAUUUGGAAAAUUAAUAACAAACUGCACUCGGAGAAGUUUAUAUGGAUGAAAUUCUGGACAGGAGUUCGACUCUCCUCGUCUCCACCA
rnacentral:tmRNA from 1 species